AACGAACGCUGGCGGCGUGCCUAACACAUGCAAGUCGAGCGCGAAAAGGGCAACCUGAGUAGAGCGGCGCACGGGUGAGUAUCACGUGGGUAAUCUGCCUCGAAGCCUGGAAUAACCUUCCGAAAGGUUGGCUAAUGCCAGAUAAGCUCACGGGAACUUCGGUUCUUGUGGGAAAAGGUGGCCUCUGUUUACAAGCUAUCACUUCGAGAUGAGCCCGCGGCCAAUCAGGUAGUUGGCGGGGUAACGGCCCACCAAGCCUACGACGGGUAGCUGGUCUGAGAGGACGAUCAGCCACACUGGAACUGAGACACGGUCCAGACUCCUACGGGAGGCAGCAGUGGGGAAUUUUGCACAAUGGGCGCAAGCCUGAUGCAGCAACGCCGCGUGUGUGAUGAAGGUCUUCGGAUCGUAAAGCACUUUCGACCGGGACGAAAAAGCGACACCCAACACGUGUCGCCCUGACGGUACCGGGAGAAGAAGCACCGGCUAACUCUGUGCCAGCAGCCGCCGUAAUAC
rnacentral:rRNA from 1 species